UACGUAGGGUGCGAGCGUUUGUCCGGAUUUAUUGGGCGUAAAGAGCUCGUAGGCGGUUUGUCGCGUCGGCCGUGAAAUCUCCACGCUUAACGUGGAGCGUGCGGUCGAUACGGGCAGACUUGAGUUCGGUAGGGGAGACUGGAAUUCCUGGUGUAGCGGUGAAAUGCGCAGAUAUCAGGAGGAACACCAAUGGCGAAGGCAGCUCUCUGGUACAUGACUGACGCUGAGAACGCGAAAGCGUGGGUAGCAAACAGG
rnacentral:rRNA from 1 species